AUUACUUUUCCCCGAUCGGUUAGCUGGUCGUGGGGAUCAGGAGCCCACUUCCCAUUCCCGUCAUAUUCUAAAAAAAAAUCGAGUCUCGACCGGGAUUAGUGCGUGGCGAGCGGUUGAUGGAUCUGCUCGGCGGCGAUUCUUCGGAGGUGCUCGGCAAUACUGCUAGGUGCCGGCGGCCCACUCCCCGUUCUAACUCAGCGAUGCGGUGAGCGGCCGGCGUGGUGGUCGGCGGGCAGGCCGGGCGGUGUGGUGCUCGGCGGCUGGCUUGAUGUCAGCGGGCGGACCUCAUGUGGCUGUCGCGGCGGCUCUGCGGUGGGUGUAUGCAGCUGUCCAGGCAGAAGACGGAGAUGAAUCAUCCUGGGAAGUGGGCAGUAGCUUGCGCGAACGAGGAGGCGUGGAAAGUUGGUGCCAACGGGGUGAAGCCCGUGCCGUCCCCUGGCUGUGGAGAGUGGCAGCAGCCAUGGACAGCCAUUUGAGGUGCAGCUUGUGUUUCAGAUCCGUUUCUGAGUGUGGUGCGUGGGUUUGAGUGUGUCUUCAUGUGUGUAGUAAUACUCAUCUGCCAAUGGAGGAAUCCACGAGAUAGCAACUGGCGCACGGGAGGAUGUGAGCAAUCCUGAUCCCAUCGUUUAAUUUCCUCUUCAUUUUUGUUCGUUUCUGUUCUAAUUAAUUUCCACUGGAGGAAGCUGCAAGGGCGCAGGCGGGGAGCGCACGGGAGUGCAAGUUCCGAUCAAUUUCCACUUUGUUUCUGUUCGCUGUGUUCUUCCAAUUUUCUUUUUUUUUGUUGAAGCAACAAGGGGGGAAGGUCUAAUGCAACUUCUUGCAAGCCGGUUCUUCCCAAAUUGCUAAAUCGGUGUUCGAUUUCUGUCGAGUCUGCAGUCUGGAUAGAUCAUAGACUGAAUGUCCUACCUGAAGAGGCCAUGCUGAUAUAGAGCAGUGUUUUCAUACAAUUCCUAGGCUCUGUGACGUGGAAGCUCGGCUGCUACUAAAUGGCGCUACUCUGUAACAUAUUU